UGGGAAAAUCCCUCUCCUCCAGUUCCUUUGGCUCCACUACAGCCAACUGGACGUCUAAAGCCAAAGCCACACUAAACCCCUUUGCCAGGCACAGUAAAGCAGGUAAAAGUUUCUCCAAUCAGAGCAGUCCCAAAUGCAGCCCUUCUGACGGAGAGGCUUCCUCGUCCAUCCUCCCCGUCCACCAGGUCCUGGACAAGGUAAAGGGCUACUGCUCCGUGCGCUCGGACAACUUCUACAAAAACAUUAUCAUAUCAGACAGCUUUAGCAACAGCACUAAAUUCUAGUGAGAGGAGGCUGAGACGGAGCCCUGUUCUGUCCCACAGACUUACCUUGUGUGUAAAGACUAUGCUACAUUUUGAGUUAACCUUCCAAGCCCUUCCACCCUCCCCGACUGGAGUAGAGAAACGCAUAACCUUGUAGAGAGGGCAAGCUAUGAAAUUGUGGAAUUGACAUACUGUGAUAUUCAGCUUAUAGUGAGUAUGUGAUAUGUAAAUAUUCAUAAUAUAUUUUACUAUUUGUGCUUUUUCUAAUUUCGGUUUUGCAUACUUUUUUUGCACAUUACUUUGGUUUUUGUUUUUGUAUAUAUAAAUGCAUAAAUUCUUGCUACGGCAGAAAAAAUUGGACCAUUUUACAACCAAAGACUGGCUGACUAACAUGAGGAGUACUAGUUAGUUCCUCAGAAUGGGACUGAAAGAACAAAUACGGUUGAAGCUUGAAUUUUCAUGCUUGUGAAUUUUGCCUUGGUUUAGCUUUCUUUACCUUAAGUACAUUUUCACUGUAAAUUAGUGAACCUUUAAUACUUUUAUUUUGUGAUUAUUGAAAUGCUCUCUAUUUUAGUCUUCACAUGAUCUACUACUGAUUAACAUGUUACAGAAAAUGUUGUUUUUUUACAGUGUGAUCCUUGUUCAGUUGUUUCAGUGCAUAGUUUCAUAAAACUGCUCUAACAGAAGGGCAGAACAUUGAGAUUAGUCAAACAAGAGCUAUUUGACGAUGGAAUGAAAAACAACAGCUAUACACCAAAUCUAACAUGUUCAGAUCUUCCUGUUGCUGUAGUUUAAUGACUUUGUUGUUUUGACUUGGUAUUUAUUUUAAAUGCUUUUAAGAGAUUUCUAUGCUUCAUUGAAGAAAAUGUCAGCCGAGGACAUGCUUACCGAGGGCUAUUGAGUUUGCUCUGGUCAUCAGUGUAGAUCAUCAUUGUAUAGUGGUCAUGGAUGCUUUAUGAAAAUGUGACAUCCUGCAUAUUAAAUGCACUUAAAACAUCUUGUCAUUUCUUAUUUGUUUGAAUAGUAACAAUUUUCUGCUUAUGGUGGAAAAUCUGAAAUAUUAGGGAUGCCUCAGAAAUUUUGUGUCUGUAUUCCCAGCUAACAAGCUAAUAUGUUCUUCUUAAACUGAACGUUUUACUAACAUUCCCAUUAAGUUAUAGAUCUGUUAUUUCUAAAUGUUUUGAUCAUUCCAUUUUUUUGGGGAACCAAAUACUAAUGUUAGGGGAACGUUCC
ensembl:lncRNA